UACGAAGGGGGCUAGCGUUGUUCGGAAUUACUGGGCGUAAAGCGCGCGUAGGCGGUUUUGUUAGUCAGGGGUGAAAUCCCGGGGCUCAACCUCGGAACUGCCUUUGAUACUGCAAAUCUCGAGUCCGAUAGAGGUGGGUGGAAUUCCUAGUGUAGAGGUGAAAUUCGUAGAUAUUCGGAAGAACACCAGUGGCGAAGGCGGCUCACUGGCCCGGUACUGACGCUGAGAUACGAAAGCGUGGGGAGCAAACAGG
rnacentral:rRNA from 1 species